AGAUAGCAGUGGUGGGAACCGUCCUCUGGUUUCAGUUCAGCUCUUCAGAAACCUACGGUGAUGGUGCGGAAGGUUGUUCCAUUAUUUAUACAGGUGAUGGUGUUAGCGAGUUUUGAAACUGUUCAGAGCCAGGGAACAAAGGACUGUCAAAAAUAGAAGGAAAAAAAAAAACAUUAAUGUACAUUAAAAAAGGAAUGGGUCGAUGUGAUAACGGGUAACGCCAUUUCAUUAGGAGUGUUUCCAUUGUCAGAACUUCAGGAUCAGUUCUGGGAGGGGGAGACUGACCAGGAGAUAUGACGGCUCAGUCCUCUCAGCUGUUGUGUGCUCAUACAAAUUCAGUCCUUUCAGGACUUUGCACAGACAUCAGCACAUUGCAACAGCUUCAGCAGUGAGCGAUGUCACUGAUCAGUGCCAAAAUGCGUAAAUAAAGUCAUUUCCCACUGAAUUACAACCAAUUAGCAAAAGUUCUGCUUUGCUGCUCAUCGUGCCAUGAUCAGGUACUCUGAAAGUUCCUGUAAAUGGCCUGGAAAACUGCCAGUUUGACCAACCCAGUGAAGUGGAGACACGCAUGCUGGCCCGGGACACAGUCCCAGUGGAAGCACGCCUAUUAGUGUUAAAGAGCAAGUCAAAUCAAAAUCAACUUAUUUUAGCUGAUAACUAGUAUAAAUGAGUGUCUAACAGUGUUGUAGACAUGUGUAGUUAUUAUUUUUGCAUUUUGAUGCAUUUUCUUUGAAAACUCUAAAUUCUGUUUACAAACGCCAGUCUAGCGCCAUCUUCAGCUCAAAAGUAUAGAACACGUUUAUUUUGAGUCGAUUUUAGCCAAUGGCUAACAAGAACAAUGCUACGUAUUUCAGAAAAGUACUACGUAGCAGCUCUGUGGCUGUAGGUUAUAAAAGCACCGCGGUCUCAACCAGCCUUGUAGCAGUCGGGGCUCGUAAGUGAGUUGUGCUAUAGUUAGCAUUAGCAUCGUGUCAGAGUCCCAGCAAAACUUUUAAUAUUAAAAUUAUUUAGUUCGAGUAGCUUGGCUGUUAGAUUUUGUAGUUUAGUAUUUUUUACAUCAGACUCUUUCACCUACUUGGUGGAGCUUGAACCGGUUAAGCUGGUUUGAAGAGCAUUUCACAAAUUAGUCCAAGCCGUUCCAGUAAUUACCAGGUGUUCUGAACUGGUGCUGAGUCCGGUUAUCAUUAGAACAUGUCUGAUUCUGGACACUGAGUUAUCUCUGAGAGCAGUCAGAUCACCCACCAGCCGUGUUAUAAAGCACAUAUAUUAGACAGUUUGUUUUGUACACGAUCUAAGUUACUAAACUCCCACAACAAGCUGAUGUUAUUAUAUUUUUCAAGCUAAAUCUGCCCAAGACGGAUUUAGUCCUCCUGCCUGCACCGGUCCAGGCUAGAGCCUUGCAGGUGAAUUAUUUCACCAUCUCUCUUUCUUUACCUUCUAGUUUUAACAUGUAAUUAUUUUAGCUUAUUGUUAAACGUGUGUUGCUGCUCUUAAAAACAACUAUAAUUAUAUUUGCUGUUUCUAUAUAUUUCACAUAGCCUCCCAGCAGCUGUGUGCCUGACGCUGGGACCAUGAUGGGAAUUCCACCCAGAGCAGCUUCUACACUCCUGAACAAACCCAGGUGUGGUGGAGAGCUUCUGAGCAGCGUCCAUCUGAAUGACAGGACAAGCUCUAUGAACUGAUCCAGGUAAAAACAUUCUAAAUAAUAAUAUUGUACUCUGUUUUCUGUUUUUUUCCUACGUCUCAGCCUGGCUGCUCACCACUGGAGAGGAGUAUCUUCCCAGACUCACAUCAACAUCCCAUUUUACCUCGGGGCCUCCUGAUCUAACAGAAAAACCUGUAGCUCCAUCCUAGCUCUGCUUUCCACAUGUUUCUCAUCAUCUCUGGAAGCUACCAGCUACUGUGAUGUUAUGUGUACAGUUUUUUUUUCAGGCUAAAUGAACCCAAGUAAUCUGCUGUCAGACUGUGUAGUAAAGCUUAUUGCUACACGUGUGUUGCUGCUGCGAGCUUGGAGCUAGAUUAGAUCAUGACAUCAUGAAGGAGACUACUGAUUCUGGUCCUGUGACACCUGGUGACGUGUGAGCUGAUUCACCUGGACACUCAGCAAAAUAUGGACUUUACACCAUGAGGCAGGCACAUGUUAAUACUCUAUAAGAGCACAUAAGCAUGAGGAUGUCCUCACACACCUGUAACCUAUCAGCUCAUCUGGCAGAAUAGAGAGAGAAGAGACAACACCACAUCUCCUGUUCCCGGAAAGCCUUCAGCCAUCCUUCGAUGACUGAGAACCUCCAUCAGCUCUGUCUCCUGUCUGCCUACAAUUAUUAUAAUAAAUAUUGUGUUUGACAAGUUUUUUGUGCAGCCAAAUGUCUCAUUUUGAUUCCAGUUUUGAUAUUUUAAUGGAUAUUUAUAAAUUACAUUAAUUGAAUUAUCACAUUGUUGCAUGUUUAACUAGCUCUAUUGUGAUGAAUUAAACUAGCACCUCACUGUUAAAAGCUCGUUUUAAUUUCAAGCAUGUUUAAGUAUUUAUGGACAUGAACAAAAACAGGAAAUAUGUAAAUUGAGAUUUAUUUAAUUAAUAUAACAAAUAACUGUUUAGAGGAAGAAAGAGUCAUUGAAAGGCACAUUCUUCUGAAAGCUCCUGAUCCUGACUACACCACCAGAGGAGACCACCUGCAGACACCAGAGGAUCACCUACGACCAAGAGAGCAGCUGGUAUCAGUAAAUAAAUAAUGAAAUCAGGGCA